AUUGAACGCUGGCGGCAGGCCUAACACAUGCAAGUCGAGCGGCUCGGCGGACGGGUACGUAAUGCCUAGGACUCUGCCUGGUAGUGGUGGAUAACGUCCGGAAACGGGCGCUAAUACCGCAUACUAUCACAUGAGCCUAGGUCGGAUUAGCUAGUUGGUGGGGGAAAGGCUCACAAAGGCGACGAUCCGUAACCGGUCUGAGAGGAUGAUCAGUAACACUGGAACUGAGACACGGUCCAGACUCCUACGGGAGGCAGCAGUGGGGAAUAUUGGACAAUGGGCGAAAGCCUGAUCCAGCCAUGCCGCGUGUAUGAAGAAGGUCUUCGGAUUGUAAAGUACUUUAAGUUGGGAGGCGUUACCAACAGAAUAAGCACCGGCUAACUUCGUGCCAGCAGCCGCGGUAAUUC
rnacentral:rRNA from 1 species